GUCUUCGUGAACAUAGCAGACUGCUCAGUAACACGUGGAUAACCUGCCCUUAGGACUGGCAUAACCCCGGGAAACUGGGGAUAAUUCCGGAUAGAUCAUAAAUGCUGGAAUGCUUUAUGAUUGAAAGGUUUCGACCGCCUUAGGAUGGAUCUGCGGCCUAUCAGGUUGUAGUGGGUGUAAUGUACCUACUAGCCUACGACGGGUACGGGUUGUGGAAGCAAGAGCCCGGAGAUGGAUUCUGAGACAUGAAUCCAGGCCCUACGGGGCGCAGCAGGCGCGAAAACUUUACAAUGCGGGAAACCGUGAUAAGGGAACACUGAGUGCUAGCAUUUAUGUUAGCUGUCCACAUGUGUAAAUAGCAUGUGAUAGCAAGGGCUGGGCAAGACCGGUGCCAGCCGCCGCGGUAACACCGGCAGCCCGAGUGGUGAUCACUAUUAUUGGGUCUAAAGGGUCCGUAGCCGGUUUAAUCAGUCUUCUGGGAAAUCUAAUCGCUUAACUAUUAGGCUUCCAGGGGAUACUGUUAGACUUGGGACCGGGAGAGGUAAGAGGUACUGCAGGGGUAGGAGUGAAAUCUUGUAAUCCCUGUGAGACCACCAGUGGCGAAGGCGUCUUACCAGAACGGGUCCGACGGUGAGGGACGAAAGCUGGGGGCACGAACCGGAUUAGAUACCCGGGUAGUCCCAGCUGUAAACGAUGCUCGUUAGGUGUCAGGAACGGUGCGACUGUUUCUGGUGCCGA
rnacentral:rRNA from 1 species